rnacentral:rRNA from 1 species
GGUGAACGCUGGCGGCGUGCUUAACACAUGCAAGUCGAACGGAAAGGCCCAAGCUUGCUUGGGUACUCGAGUGGCGAACGGGUGAGUAACACGUGGGUGAUCUGCCCUGCACUUCGGGAUAAGCCUGGGAAACUGGGUCUAAUACCGGAUAGGACCACAUUUUGGAUGGUGUGGUGGAAAGUUUUUCGGUGUGGGAUGAGCUCGCGGCCUAUCAGCUUGUUGGUGGGGUAAUGGCCUACCAAGGCGUCGACGGGUAGCCGGCCUGAGAGGGUGUACGGCCACAUUGGGACUGAGAUACGGCCCAGACUCCUACGGGAGGCAGCAGUGGGGAAUAUUGCACAAUGGGCGCAAGCCUGAUGCAGCGACGCCGCGUGGGGGAUGACGGCCUUCGGGUUGUAAACUCCUUUCGCUAGGGACGAAGCGUUAUGUGACGGUACCUGGAGAAGAAGCACCGGCUAACUACGUG